GAGGCGCGGCCGUCGGACGGGGCCGGCCGUUGGGUCUGCCGACCGGCGGACGGAGCCGGGCGUGGGGCCUAGCGGUCGCCGCGCCCCCAGCCCGGGGAGCGGGCUGGUUGGUGUCGCGGCUCGUCCCGGGCUGGUCAUGUAAGUGGUCCUUCCAGGGGAAGGCACACGUCGGGGUCGACACGGAGAGCUCUGGGCGGGCGUGAUCUAUCCCAGCCUCACAGACGUGCACCCUGCCCUGGGGCUGUCGUCGAUUUGACUGAACCAGACUCAGACUUGAUUUAAUUCUUUAAUGCAACAGCAGUUUGGCAGGAGUAUAUCCUGAACUGGAGUAUGGCCUCAUUCUGUAGCGGCAAUGAAAAUAAAACGUGACUGCUAUCCA